rnacentral:rRNA from 2 species
AGACCCGAAACCCGGUGAUCUAGCCAUGGGCAGGUUGAAGGUUGGGUAACACUAACUGGAGGACCGAACCGACUAAUGUUGAAAAAUUAGCGGAUGACCUGUGGCUGGGGGUGAAAGGCCAAUCAAACCGGGAGAUAGCUGGUUCUCCCCGAAAGCUAUUUAGGUAGCGCCUCGUGAAUUCAUCUCCGGGGGUAGAGCACUGUUUCGGCUAGGGGGCCAUCCCGGCUUACCAACCCGAUGCAAACUGCGAAUACCGGAGAAUGUUAUCACGGGAGACACACGGCGGGUGCUAACGUCCGUCGUGAAGAGGGAAACAACCCAGACCGCCAGCUAAGGUCCCAAAGUCAUGGUUAAGUGGGAAACGAUGUGGGAAGGCCCAGACAGCCAGGAUGUUGGCUUAGAAGCAGCCAUCAUUUAAAGAAAGCGUAAUAGCUCACUGGUCGAGUCGGCCUGCGCGGAAGAUGUAACGGGGCUAAACCAUGCACCGAAGCUGCGGCAGCGAACGUAUCACCCAAGACAACUUUACGGAGUUGACGAUUGACGGAGCGAAGCGACGUCAAAGCGUUCAUUAAAGUCGAGUUGGCUUAGGGAUACGUUCGUUGGGUAGGGGAGCGUUCUGUAAGCCUGUGAAGGUGUGUCGUGAGGCAUGCUGGAGGUAUCAGAAGUGCGAAUGCUGACAUAAGUAACGAUAAAGCGGGUGAAAAGCCCGCUCGCCGGAAGACCAAGGGUUCCUGUCCAACGUUAAUCGGGGCAGGGUGAGUCGACCCCUAAGGCGAGGCCGAAAGGCGUAGUCGAUGGGAAACGGGUUAAUAUUCCCGUACUUGGUGUUACUGCGAAGGGGGGACGGAGAAGGCUAUGUUGGCCGGGCGACGGUUGUCCCGGUUUAAGCGUGUAGGUGUGUGUUCCA